AGGAAUCCAGACCCUCUCCCACGCCUGAGGUCAGCGCCGGGACUCACCACCUCCCACGUCCUGUCUCGGGUGAGGGAGAUGACCACCAGGGAGGGGUUCACCAGGAAGCCAUCCUCAUUGAAGGAGUAAUCCCGGUUAUCCCAGGACCCUGUGUUCUUUCAAGAGAAGUCCAUGGUCUUAUUCAUCUCUGCGUUCCCAGUGCCCAGCAUGAGCCCUAGUUCCUAGCGGGCGCUCAAAUUCAGACAUGCCCUACAACCCAGCUUCGACUGUGCGGAAAGGAGAUGGCAGAGCAACAAGGUGGG